rnacentral:rRNA from 1 species
UACGAAGGGGGCUAGCGUUGCUCGGAAUUACUGGGCGUAAAGGGAGCGUAGGCGGACAUUUUAAGUCAGAGGUGAAAUCCCGGAGCUUAACUUCGGAACUGCCUUUGAUACUGGGUGUCUUGAGUGUGAGAGAGGUAUGUGGAACUCCGAGUGUAGAGGUGAAAUUCGUAGAUAUUCGGAAGAACACCAGUGGCGAAGGCGACAUACUGGCUCAUUACUGACGCUGAGGCUCGAAAGCGUGGGGAGCAAACAGG